rnacentral:rRNA from 1 species
CGUGUAGGCGGUAGUGUGUGUCCGGCGUGAAAGACCACGGCUUAACCGGGGAAGAGCACUGGAUACUACACAACUUGAGUGCGAGAGGGGAUGGUGGAAUUCUCGGUGUAGAGGUGAAAUUCGUAGAUACCGGGAGGAAUAUCUGAGGCGAAGGCGGCCAUCUGGAUCGCAACUGACGCUGAGACGCGAAAGCGUGGGUAGCAAACA